GACGAACGCUGGCGGCGUGCUUAACACAUGCAAGUCGAACGGUAAGGCCCUUCGGGGUACACGAGUGGCGAACGGGUGAGUAACACGUGGGUGAUCUGCCCUGCACUUCGGGAUAAGCCCGGGAAACUGGGUCUAAUACCGGAUCGGACUCCGGCCCGCAUGGUCUGGGGUGGAAAGCUUUUGCGGUGUGGGAUGGGCCCGCGGCCUAUCAGCUUGUUGGUGGGGUGAUGGCCUACCAAGGCGACGACGGGUAGCCGGCCUGAGAGGGUGACCGGCCACACUGGGACUGAGAUACGGCCCAGACUCCUACGGGAGGCAGCAGUGGGGAAUAUUGCACAAUGGGCGCAAGCCUGAUGCAGCGACGCCGCGUGAGGGAUGACGGCCUUCGGGUUGUAAACCUCUUUCAGCAUCGACGAAGCGAAAGUGACGGUAGGUGCAGAAGAAGGACCGGCCAACUACGUGCCAGCAGCCGCGGUAA
rnacentral:rRNA from 1 species